rnacentral:lncRNA from 1 species
AUGCAUCUAUAUAUUUCUAUUUACCAGGUUAGCAGAGUGGAGAACUUAAGGACACUGGCUGGAAAACCAGGCUCCCUGGGUUCAAAUCUCGAUUACGAAACACCCGUAAGCCGUGUGCCCUGGAGCAGGUUCCUGAGCCCCUCUGUGCUCCGGGCCUGGCCUGUGACGGGGCGCACGCCCGGGGGGAACGAGGCACUGCCUCGCCGUUACAGCCCAGAGCACACAGCAGGCGCUUCUCCACCACCAACCAGGGUCUCGGCUCCCAGCUCUGCCGUCCGUCAAUGCCACCUUCCAAGUCCCAUCAGGCGCACGGCGAUGCUUGAGACACGCCAUCGAGAAACCACAGACAUGCUGAAAACACAAUCCCGAGUCAGCUCACACGCGGCCACAUUGCUCCCUGCAGCCAGGGGAAUGCGUGGCGACCGGACUCGGCUUGGGGGCCGCCUCCCCGCGGGGCGGCCCGGGCGGCCGCCCCCCCCCCCUGGCGCACUGUCUCCCAGGCUCAGCACUGAAGCCGUGGAUCCUUGUCAACGCCAGAAGAGGAGACUGCAGAGACAUGCCACGCCGGCCCCUGCCUCGCCCCCCAGGGCUGGGCUGAGUGCAUCCCCCCCUGCCUGCCAUGAGGCCUCGUGAGGGCUGGGAGGCUGGGGAGGGGGUCCGUGUCCCCUGACUGUGAGGGUCUCUGCGGGUGUGACUGGAGUCUAUGGAGGGUGUUGCUAUGGCUGCAAAACGCAACUGUAACCACUGAAGGGCCACAGCACGGAGUGGUCACCUCACUCGGGGGUUUGCUGCCACGGUGAUAAGGUUGACACCUCUGUAUUCUGAGAGGCACAAAUAAAGUCCCUUCAUUCAGACUAAAGAAGGCUUCCUCCUUCUUUUACGAGUGAAGGCACCAUGAGUUUCUACACCGCUGGGCUCCUCGUUCAGAACUGAGAGCGUUUGCUUCAUUAAAAGUGGUGUAUUACAGGAAGACACAGGACUUCACUCGUGGAGGGCAGUGCUAAGGCAACAGCAAGACCAGCGCUGGCCUGACCGCGAAGACAGGGUACGGAGCACAACCAGGGUUAGGGAAGCGAGCAGCCGCUCAGUCUGAGCACACAGCCACGAGUAUGGGGUGGCCAAGAAGUCCGUUCAUCUCUUUGCAUAUGAUGGUUCUAGUAGCUCUCGUCUUUAACUUCAUUGGAAACAAUUUUGUUACAUCGUGACAGCUGUCAUAUCGGUACACACUAAAAAAAACAUCAAAAUCGGUGAAUUUCUGUGCAGCCAUUUAAAUGCUGAAGAUGGAAGAAAAAAAGCAACAUUUUCAGCAUCUUAUUGACUGAGCAUGCACACACAGAAGCUUUAUUAUUUCGAGAAAGUUAAGAAUGAGACCGAAAUACAAAAAAAAGACUUGUGCCAGUAUGGACAAGGUGCUGUGACUGAUCAAAAGUGUCAAAAGUGGUUUGUGAAGUUUCAUGCUGGAGAUUUCUCACUGGAUGAUGCUCCGUGGCUCAGCAGACUACUUACUGGGAGUUCACAGCCAUCAAACCGAGACAUUGAGAACAAUCAACCUUACUCCACACGGCCACACGGGAGACAGUGGCCAUGCUCAAAAUGCUCCAAGCGAGGACUGAAAAUCAUUCGCACCAGCCUGAUCAUGUUCAUUGCUGUGAUAGCUGGGCUCCACGUAAGUUUAGCGGAAAAAACCUUCUGUACCUUAUUUCCACAUGUGAUUCUCUACUUAAACAUAACAAAAAUGUUCCAUUUUUAAAACACUAGGCAAGGAAAAAUGGAUACUGUACAAAAGUGUGGAACAGAAGAGAUCACAGGGCAAGCGAAAUGAGCCACCACCAACCACACCAAAGGCUGGUCUUCAUGCAAAGCUGAGGUGAUGUAUGGGGUGGGGUUGGAAGGGAGUCCUCUGAGCUCCUUCUGGAAAACCACACGAUUAGGUCCAACAAGUACUGCUCCCAGUGAGACCAACUGAAAGCAGCAGGCCACAAAAAAUGUCCGGAACUAAUCAACAGAUUAAAAAAACCCUCCCAUCAGGAUAACGCAAGACUGCGUGCCUCUUUGGUGACCAGGCAAACUGUUCCAGCUCGGCAGGGACGCUCUGACUCAUCCUCUGUAUCCAGCAGACUCUGCACUUCCGGAUGUUCAUUCGUUUCAGUCUUUACAAAAUUCUCUUAAUGGAAAAAUUUCAAUUCCCUGGAAGACUGUAAAAGGCACUUGGAGCAGUUCCUUGCUCAAAAAGCCAACACGCUUUGGGAAGAUGGAAUUAUGAAGUUGCCUGGGAAAUGGCAGAAGGUAAUGGAACAAAACAACGAAUACGUACUUCAGUCAAGUUCUUGGUGAAAAUGGAAACUGUCUUUUACUUAAACAUCGAAGAAGCUUUUCGGCCAACCUAAUAAAAGCUCUGAAAACUCUCAAUCAGCAGGCUAACAGUGCAACACGUGGGUGUGUGUCCUGCGUGGACACUGCUUUAUAUGCUGAUCAUUUAAUCCUCCUGAUAAACCGUGAAGACAAGGUGAGGUUCAAGGAAGCUGCCCGACUACUGGGCAGUGAGAGAACGGCUGACCCUGGACAGUCUUGGUCAAGCUGUGCAGAGGGAACUUUGUUGUAGAACUCAGCGGAGGAGACAGACCUGCUGGAUCUCAAAUAGGCGAGAGCCAGAUCCCAUGAAGGCACCGGGCCCGCAGGAGUCAAGCACGCGGCCUGGGCAGCGCUGUGGGGUGAGGAAGUUUUGCUGAAGUUUUUAAGGGGUAUUGUGGGUUUUGCUUUUUUAGCUUUUUUUUUUUAAUGGACAAUUUUUUACUCUUUGUUGUUUUUGUUACAACACUGCUUCUGUUUUUUGUUUUGGUUUUUUGUCUGAGAGGCAUGUGGAAUCUCAGCUCCCGACCAGGGAUCAGACGCACACCCCCUGCACGGGAAGGCAGAGGCUUAACCACUGGACCACAGGGAAGUCUCUCAGGGGUGCCGAGUUUUGAUUAAGAGACCAAGCGUGUUUUCAGCAACAGUUUCCACCCACCAUGGGCUUUUCAUUUAAGAUAUUUCCGAGGAGGGGACAUUAGCGUCUGCCUGGUCCCCUGCUGGAAUUUCUCAUUUUGCAGUGAGCAGCACAUGAAACCCCAAGCUAACCCUCUUCCAAUCCACCUCAUUCUAUAAUUUCUCUCUAAAAAGAAAUCUACGAGUGAGCAAAGCCUUCAUUCACAUCUACAUGGCAUGCGUGCACCAAGCCCGGAAGCUGACCCACUUACUCUCAGGUUGGGGACUUUAAAGAUCUCCCCCAAAUGGUGAAGGCCACUUUGACUCAAGUCUAAAGUCGCGGAGGAGGAGAAGAGGACCCCCUGGUGAACGUCUCUGGAGGCAGAAGCAGGCUUGCUCCCCGCCUGGCCAGCGGGGCUCUCCCGGUCACGAGCCCCGCAGGGAACGGAGAGGGAACCGCUCCCCUCCAUCAGUCGGCCGGGAGGAAGCACUCCUCUGGGGACCACCGCGCAUCCUGGGUGUGGAGUCACCUGGAGAUGGGGGGCGGGGCGGGGCGACACAUCAACAAUGGGUACCACCUUCCGGCGGCUCGGCAGGCCUGCAGUGACUGUGCCAGCUUACGAAAACCUGCGCGUCAUAAACAGACCAUAAACUGGACUUUGGUACGACAAAGUGGGCUGCAAGAGGUUCAGAUUAAACUGCUCCGCUCCUCCCUCUGCACCUCGGAGUUCCAGACUUAACUUUUAAUUCCUGGAAAAUGCAAAGGAGGAAUGGCCGAAUCAGAACGGUUCUAAAUCCACAAGCGGGCAUCUCCCUCCCCUGAGCGCGGAGGGAGCCCUGAGCUCGCCCUUUCUUAUUUGCAGGUCUGGGUCCUUCCCAUCAGCGUUUCGCUCAGCGGGGGUGUUGCCAGCUCACGUGUCUGCUGUGUGUCUGUCCCUCCAUUUCAGGGGCGGGGAUUGCGAGGCCCGCGCCCCCUGGGACUCCCAGUGGGUCCUUUUCUGUGACUCCGGGGAGUGCAGGCUGCAACCUCUGCAAACCUCUGAACCAGGAGGUCUCAGGACUGCGAGCCGCGGGGCGGCGGCGGGCCGCGCAGGGGCUGGAAGGCCGCGUCCCCACAGCGCGGGCCGCGCUCCGGGCUCCACUUCCCAUUACCCGGCGCCCCUGGCCUCUCCCGAUAGGUCCCCGCCCGGGCAGGGCGGGCCGCGCGGGGGCAUGGAGGCGGCGCUCCGGGCCCCGCAAGCGCGCGGUGCCUGAGUCUCCAGUGCGCCCCACCUCCCAUCACCCGGGGCCUCCAGCCUCUCCCGAUGGGUCCCCG